UCACUUGCUUCUAACUUUCAUAUUCAAGAAAUUCUCCUUUCUCCAGCCCUAUUUCUUCCUAUUCUCUCUUGGUAUUCAUUUCAUUGCAUCUUCAUCACCUUUUUCUUCUACAUCUUUGUUUUUUUCUUAAAUUCAAGCCAAAAUUAAUAAAAAAGGGGUUGAAAAGCAAGGAUAAUUAUGGUUGGUCUAUCUGACAUUCCCUGUGUGGGAAAGAACGUGGACAGGAUAUCCGAUGCAGCAGUUGACGCACUAUUUCGCGGAUUCAGUUAUAUGUUUUCUUACAAGAAUCAUGUUCAGGUUCUUGAAACCGAAAUUCAGAAACUUGACGCUGAGAUGGAUCGGAUGUCCAGAAAAGUCAGGGAAGAAAAAGAUAAUGGUAAAAUGAUCGUUGAUGGCGUGAGUACAUGGCAGGCAGAUGUAGAAGAAGUCAAGAAGAGUGCUGAAGAAAUUUUAGAAAAAUACAAAAACAGAUCUUCAUGGAGGUGCAUUCAGUGGAUGCCUAUUCCUAAACCAGUCUCCCGAUCCCGAUUGGGUCGGGAGGCAGCACACAAGGCCAAGAGAGUAAUUGAACUCUCUGAUUCUGCAAACAAUCUCUUGGCUAAUGGAAUUGCAUAUGGUUCUCCUGCUGAAAAUGCACCAAACACUGUAUAUCAGACUUUCAAAUCCAGAAGUGAUGCUUAUGACAAGCUAUGGAAAGCGCUUGUAAGUGAAGGUGGUUCUACUGUUCUUGGCAUCUAUGGAAUGCCUGGAGUUGGGAAGACGACAAUGAUGGAGAGUCUAUGGAAGGAAGCCCUUGAGAAAAAAAUCUUCGACAAGGUAACUCGGGCAGAUGUGGGCAAUGAAGACUUGGAUGUAUUUAAAUUGCAAAAACAAAUCGCGGACCAUCUGGAUUGCCAUUUAAAUCCGGAAGAUGAUGAGCAACACAGAGCUUCUCAACUGAAAAAGAGAUUAACGAAUGGAGAGAAGAUCCUCAUUAUACUAGACGAUGUAUGGAAGGAGAUCCCGUUGCAUCGUAUUGGAAUUUCAUUGGGCGAUGGUGAUAGUUCCACUCAUCGUAAGAUCCUUUUGACAUCCCGGAAGAAAAGAGUAUGCAUGGAUAACAAGUGCCUGCAUCCGGUAAAGAUUGCACCUCUUGGACCUGAAGAAGCAUGGCAAAUGUUCAGGAACACUGUUGUUCCUGAUAACAUUUACCUUCUUCCAGACGAAUCCCUGGCACUGGAGGUGUGCAACCAAUGUGGGGGAUUACCACUCCUAAUUCACGCGGUUGGUAAAGCUCUGCAAUUCACAUCUCCUGAUGUAUGGAAGGAUGCACUAAAUCAACUCGUGAUGGGCAACUUUGAAAAAAUUGCUGAUAUAGAUUCGAAUGUAUAUGCCUGUGUCAAACUGAGUUUUGAUAGAUUACCCGACGAUGCCAAGUCGUGUCUUGUUUUGUGUUCCUUGUAUCCAGAAGAUGCUAGCAUUUAUAUCAAUAAGCUGAUCCCGCUAGCAACAGGGUCACGGCUGGUACGCGGUGGAGAAGCUAGAAUACGUUCGAUGGUAGAGAUUCUCAGAUCAUCUUCCCUGUUGCUGGACUCUGAAGAUCAUAUAAUAAAAGUGCAUGACCUCAUCAGAGAUGUAGCUAGAUCCAUAGCCGUCAAAGACCCGAAAUAUUCGUUUUCACUUGUAAGAUGUGGCUCGCUGUUGCCUGAUGAUGUUGACUAUCAUACUCGGAAAUUCUUACGUCUGCAUCUAGAAAAGAAUGAUAUUCUCUUUCCUGAUGGUCUGGUGUGCCAAGACCUGCAUAACUUGUGGCUACAAUGCAACAAACAUGCACAACAAUUCUUAGGUGACUUCUUUGGUAUGUUUGUGAAUCUCAGAUUUCUACUGAUUGAAGAUAUGUUGUUUUCUUUAGAGCCACAGUUCUCUCUACGGCCCUUGGUUAAUCUCAGGACCUUGAUAUUAGAUGGUUGUGAGAUUACUCAUGUUUCCCAAACAAAUGCUAGUUUUUUCCCAGAAAACCUGGUAGCUCUAUACAUUUGGAAUUGCGAUCUCCCACGGCCACUGAAUUUACCAAUCCUGAAACAUCUUAGAAAGCUCGAAAUCCAAGGGUGGAGGAGCAAUAAUAUCCAAAUGGUGCCAAAUACUGUAUCCAGUAUGCCCAGUCUACAGGAAUUGCACAUACCAGGUGGAUACAANUCACCUUUUUCCUACUACAUCUUUGUUUUCGUUAGCAAUUUUUUAAGUCCCUGCAUCAUUCACUUGCUUCUAACUUUCAUAUUCAAGAAAUUCUCCUUUCUCCAGCCCUAUUUCUUCCUAUUCUCUCUUGGUAUUCAUUUCAUUGCAUCUUCAUCACCUUUUUCUUCUACAUCUUUGUUUUUUUCUUAAAUUCAAGCCAAAAUUAAUAAAAAAGGGGUUGAAAAGCAAGGAUAAUUAUGGUUGGUCUAUCUGACAUUCCCUGUGUGGGAAAGAACGUGGACAGGAUAUCCGAUGCAGCAGUUGACGCACUAUUUCGCGGAUUCAGUUAUAUGUUUUCUUACAAGAAUCAUGUUCAGGUUCUUGAAACCGAAAUUCAGAAACUUGACGCUGAGAUGGAUCGGAUGUCCAGAAAAGUCAGGGAAGAAAAAGAUAAUGGUAAAAUGAUCGUUGAUGGCGUGAGUACAUGGCAGGCAGAUGUAGAAGAAGUCAAGAAGAGUGCUGAAGAAAUUUUAGAAAAAUACAAAAACAGAUCUUCAUGGAGGUGCAUUCAGUGGAUGCCUAUUCCUAAACCAGUCUCCCGAUCCCGAUUGGGUCGGGAGGCAGCACACAAGGCCAAGAGAGUAAUUGAACUCUCUGAUUCUGCAAACAAUCUCUUGGCUAAUGGAAUUGCAUAUGGUUCUCCUGCUGAAAAUGCACCAAACACUGUAUAUCAGACUUUCAAAUCCAGAAGUGAUGCUUAUGACAAGCUAUGGAAAGCGCUUGUAAGUGAAGGUGGUUCUACUGUUCUUGGCAUCUAUGGAAUGCCUGGAGUUGGGAAGACGACAAUGAUGGAGAGUCUAUGGAAGGAAGCCCUUGAGAAAAAAAUCUUCGACAAGGUAACUCGGGCAGAUGUGGGCAAUGAAGACUUGGAUGUAUUUAAAUUGCAAAAACAAAUCGCGGACCAUCUGGAUUGCCAUUUAAAUCCGGAAGAUGAUGAGCAACACAGAGCUUCUCAACUGAAAAAGAGAUUAACGAAUGGAGAGAAGAUCCUCAUUAUACUAGACGAUGUAUGGAAGGAGAUCCCGUUGCAUCGUAUUGGAAUUUCAUUGGGCGAUGGUGAUAGUUCCACUCAUCGUAAGAUCCUUUUGACAUCCCGGAAGAAAAGAGUAUGCAUGGAUAACAAGUGCCUGCAUCCGGUAAAGAUUGCACCUCUUGGACCUGAAGAAGCAUGGCAAAUGUUCAGGAACACUGUUGUUCCUGAUAACAUUUACCUUCUUCCAGACGAAUCCCUGGCACUGGAGGUGUGCAACCAAUGUGGGGGAUUACCACUCCUAAUUCACGCGGUUGGUAAAGCUCUGCAAUUCACAUCUCCUGAUGUAUGGAAGGAUGCACUAAAUCAACUCGUGAUGGGCAACUUUGAAAAAAUUGCUGAUAUAGAUUCGAAUGUAUAUGCCUGUGUCAAACUGAGUUUUGAUAGAUUACCCGACGAUGCCAAGUCGUGUCUUGUUUUGUGUUCCUUGUAUCCAGAAGAUGCUAGCAUUUAUAUCAAUAAGCUGAUCCCGCUAGCAACAGGGUCACGGCUGGUACGCGGUGGAGAAGCUAGAAUACGUUCGAUGGUAGAGAUUCUCAGAUCAUCUUCCCUGUUGCUGGACUCUGAAGAUCAUAUAAUAAAAGUGCAUGACCUCAUCAGAGAUGUAGCUAGAUCCAUAGCCGUCAAAGACCCGAAAUAUUCGUUUUCACUUGUAAGAUGUGGCUCGCUGUUGCCUGAUGAUGUUGACUAUCAUACUCGGAAAUUCUUACGUCUGCAUCUAGAAAAGAAUGAUAUUCUCUUUCCUGAUGGUCUGGUGUGCCAAGACCUGCAUAACUUGUGGCUACAAUGCAACAAACAUGCACAACAAUUCUUAGGUGACUUCUUUGGUAUGUUUGUGAAUCUCAGAUUUCUACUGAUUGAAGAUAUGUUGUUUUCUUUAGAGCCACAGUUCUCUCUACGGCCCUUGGUUAAUCUCAGGACCUUGAUAUUAGAUGGUUGUGAGAUUACUCAUGUUUCCCAAACAAAUGCUAGUUUUUUCCCAGAAAACCUGGUAGCUCUAUACAUUUGGAAUUGCGAUCUCCCACGGCCACUGAAUUUACCAAUCCUGAAACAUCUUAGAAAGCUCGAAAUCCAAGGGUGGAGGAGCAAUAAUAUCCAAAUGGUGCCAAAUACUGUAUCCAGUAUGCCCAGUCUACAGGAAUUGCACAUACCAGGUGGAUACAAGAUUCAAGAUGAUGGAUGUGGAAAAAGUUUGGAUGCUGUUUCGGCACCAAUAUUGGGGGAGAUUAGUAAGUUGACUGGGCUGAAAAGUUUGCAGAUGUUCUUUUUCAGCAAUUCCGAGCAUUUUCAAGAUACAAAUAUAUUUGGUAAUUUACUUCAAUAUAAUAUAUCAGUGGGUGCAAAGCCGCAUGAUCGUCCUCUUAUAGAAUCCAGUGUUUCUAUCAAGAGAUUGAUUGAGCUGCAGGGUAGUGGUUUAGAAAGCUUAAAAGGUCUGAUUGAGAGGGCUGAAGAAGUAUCAUUGGAUUGCACCGACAUUCAUGUGGGUAGCAUAUACAAUAGCAACAGGGAAGCAUUUACAGAUUUGAAAAACUUGUACAUUAGAAAUUGUAACACUAUAGAAUAUCUUGCAAGGAUAUCAUGUGGUGAGAUUCAACAUUCAAGGUCUUUCGCAAAUCUCGGCGUCUUGGAAAUCAAAGAUUGUUCAGCAUUGAAAUACCUCUUCAGCAAAUCCGUUGCAAAAUGUCUCGUGCAACUGCAGGAGUUAGCCAUUGUAAGAUGUCCUGUGAUGGAAGCAAUUUUAAUGAAUGAAGGCACAAGUGAUAGAGAUGGCGUCAUCAGCUUCUGCAAAUUGAAGUUUUUAUCAAUAUAUAAUAUUCCGAGACUCAAAAGCUUCUGCAUGCAAAAUAAAGAUCUGCACUCCGGAUCAACAACACACAACUCCGCUAUCUCGAACAUUCAAGCUCAACCCCUAUUUGAUAAAACGGUAUGUUUUAUUUAUUUCAUUAUAAUAUUUAAUUCAAACAUAAUAAAAAUUUGUUUAGUCUAACAUGAAUAUUAAUCACUUAUUUAAAAAGAUUUGGUAUAAUAUAUGCUACAGGUUGCAUUCCCUUCCUUGGAGGUAUUAACCCUGGAGGGUUCUGGAGAUACAGUAUAUGAUAUUUGGGGAAAUAGUGAAUAUGACAAAGUCGGAUCCUCCUUUCACAAAUUAAAGAUAAUCUCCUUAUAUUGGUGCAAGAAAUUGGAAAGAGUGAUCCCUCUUGCCAUGUCGAAUAACCUAAGGAAUCUGGAAUCUUUGACAGUUUGGAAUUGCCCGGGCCUGAAAAACGUAUUUCAACAUUCCUCUGUGGCCAGAGAUCUUAUCCACCUCAAGAAGAUAGAGAUAUAUCAUUGUCAUAGGUUGAGAAACGUGUUCCAACAUUCUUCUAUGGUCAGAGAUCUUAUCAACCUUCAGAAAUUGAACAUAUCACAUUGUGAAAUGAUGAGAGUGAUAAUUGAUGGGAAAGAAGAGGAGGAGGACGAAGCAGGAGGAGAAGAAGAGGAGGAGGAAGCAGGAGAGGAAGAGGAAGAAGAGGAGGAGGAAGCAGGAGAGGAAAAAGAGGAAGCGGGAGAGGAGGAAGAAGAAGAAAUUACUGAUGAUAAACAUGUCACCAUCGUCUUCCCCAAGUUAACUACUCUGCAUUUAGAUGGUUUGCAAUGUUUGACCAGCUUUUUAUGUUACCGGAGUGGGGAAGCUAAUCCAAAGGUAAUAUUUUUAAUUUCAAGAGUAUUCUAAUUUCUAAGUGCUCCGAAAUAUAAUAUAAAUAUAAGUAAGGUACUACUCCCUCUGUCCCAGUCAAUUGUAUACGUUUCUUUUUCACUGCUCGACACAUUUUUUAAGGCUCUUAUAAAACAUAGUUCCACAACUUAUUUUUAAGAUUUUCUUUUUUUGUAUAAAAAUAUAAAUGUUAUACUUUUAUACAAAAAAAGAAAAUCUUAAAAAUAAUUUACAUAACUAUACUAUAUUGAAGCAUUAAAGUCCGUGCCGCGGCCCCGUCCCCCAAUGUAUACUAUUGACUGGGACGGAGGAAGUAUAUUAUUAAGAGUGUAAAUUUUAAUAAUGCUUUUCAUAUACAUUCUCUAUUUAAUAUUUUAUUUGUAUUUGAACCAAAUGAGAGGGAAAAGUAGUGGGUGUCUUGGAGUGAAUGAUUUAUUUCAAAAACAUAUUAAGUUAAGAGGCAUACGGAGACUCUUGAAACAGAUGGGAGAGAAGAGAUCUUAAAUUUAGAAAAACUUCUCAGAGUCUCUUAAAACUCUAAUAGAAUCAUGACACUUCUUUUUCUAAAUACUGGUCUUUGAUGUCUAUGAGCAGUGUUCUUGUAGUCUGAUUAAAAUGAGAGGAUGAUGAUCAUGUUCCAUUCCUAGAGAUUUCUAAAGUGGUAACUGGAUUUUCUCCUAAAUUCUGAAAGAUGGUCAAAAUUCAAAUUCACAAAUCAAUGGUCAGAUUUUAUUUCGGUCUUUUAAAAGAAUGACUCCUGUGAGAAUGAGCCAUUAUUUUGAAAGGUGAAAGUAAAAUCUGACUAACCUGAAAAGUUAACAAACGUCCGAAACACCAAAAAAAAAAAAAAACUGGCCAUUAAUUUGCAAACCUGAAAAUUUGACAACUUUUUUAAAAUUCAAUGUAAAAUAUUGCCACUACUUUGUAAUUUACUCCCUAUGAACCAAAUUUUAAUAUUUUUCAUUUUAAAAUAUCCUUUCCCAUUUUUUUUAACAUUGCAAAAAUUGUAAAUUUUGAAUAAUAUUAAACACCAUAGCACCCACUACUUUUUCAUCAUUUUCAAUAUCAUGAAUUUGUUAAACACUUAUAGAUCACAUCAGUCUACCCAUAUGUAAAGAAAUGAGUGAGACUGAGAGAGUAUAUUGUUACUGUGUGCCUACCUCAUUUUUCUUCAGAGUCAAAUUCUCAUGAUGAGUGCCUUUGUUUAUUGUAGAUUCAAUUUCCAUACUUGGUGGAUUUUAAACUCAAUCACUGUGGAAGUUUUAACUAUGAUGUGAUGGAGUUGUGCGGAGAUGAUUCCAAUUGUAAAUUAAGGACGAUAGAAAUGACUUAUCAUCGAAAGAUACAAUUAUCAAGUAAAUGGUAUUCCAGAUUAUAUAAUCUUGAAAGUUUGACAUUGAUACACUAUCACUGGUGGCCUCAGCUGAAAUUUCAAUGCUUCAAAAGAUUAAAGGUGCUUAAAGUCGAAAAAUCUGGAUGCUCUACUCUUUUCUCAUUCUCAGCCUUUGAGAGUCUAGGACUACUACAAAAGUUAGAGAUAAAAGGCUGUGCUUUACUGGAGGAUAUUGUGGAGGAUGUAAGAAGUGAAAAACAUUGUGGCACAAAUAAGAGGACUGUUACACUCUCCCGGCUCAUAUCAGUUUCUCUCAAAAAUUUGCCAAACCUCAAAAGUUUUUUCCACAGUGGAAAUUACGAGUGCCAUAUGCCGGCUUUAGAAGUUGUUCAAGUUGAUAAUUGUGGAAUCUCUACUCUUUUCACGUGUUCUGUCUUCAGAACUGUCCACCAACUCAAAGAGUUAAAAGUAUAUAAUUGCGAAUUGUUGGAAGACAUUGUUGAGGCUACAAGGGGCGCUGAACCGUUAAACACAGAUGACAGACUUAUCACAACCCCUCAACUCUCAGUGGUUGCACUUAAAGAUUGUCCAAACCUCAAAAAUUUCAGUAGCAAUUCAAGUUACGCCUUCAAUAUGCCCAAUUUAUCCAUCUUUUUUGUAAUCGGGUGUCCCCAGAUAGAAUAUUUUACUUCUUUGAAAACAACUACACCACUGGUAUCUGUUUAUAGUGACUGGCACAAGUGGGUGAGAUCUCCAGACCUGAACGACUACAUAAGAGAAAAUUGCAAAAGAAAAGAUGAUUCAAGUAGCAGUGCUGGAGAAGUGAGCAAUAGUAAUCAAGAACCAGAAACAGAUCCAGUGAUGUUUGGCGAGCAGCAGCUUCAGGAGACAGAGGAGAAUGCUCAACAGCAACAAAGCAGUCAAGAGCACAUGGGCUCUCCAGUGGUUCUCCAUUAAGGUAGUAAUCUCCCCAGGUUUUUAUCCGCUCUUUAAGAAAUACUUAAAAGAUCUUAUUCAUCAUAAUGAAAAUAUUCAUGUCAUAUCAUGUGUAGAUUUGUCAUUUGUUGGUAGAGCUGUUCACGAACCGAGCCGAGCCGAGUUUUGACCGAACCGAGCCGAGCUUUAAUUUUUUUUCUGACAAGCCGAGCCGAGCCGAGCUUUUUAAUCGAACAAAAAUUGUGUUCAAGCUCGGCUCGUUAACUAACGAGCCGAACACGAGCUUGUUCGCGAACAAAUACGAGCCAAGCCGAGUCGAGUCGAGUCGAGUCGAGCUAGAAAAAAAAUAAGGACAAACCGCUAGUUGACUCUUAAAAUAGCUAACCUAAUAAUUUCAAUUUUUUUGAAACUUUGUUUAUAUCACUAAAAUGUAUAUAUGUUAACAUCCAUACAGUUGGAUCGGUAAAAAAUAUUUUUUAAAAUAUUGAAACACUAAAUUAGGAUUAAACACUAGUUAGCGGUACUAGUCAAACUUCUACUUGCCUGUUAAAAACCAAAUAAAAUUAUUAUUUCAUAUAUAUAUAUAUAUAUAUAUAUAUUAUGUUGAAUUCUCAGUCCAAUAACAUAUAUAAAUUAUAAAAAAACCCCGAAAAUAUUACAUUUUUUCGAGCUUUAACGAGCCGAACUCGAGCCGAACGAGCUCGAGCCGAGCUCGAGCCGAACAUACUAAAAGCUCGGCUCGAGCUCGUUUACUUAACGAACAAUUUUUUGUGUUCGAGCUCGAGCUCGUUAACUUAACGAGCCGAGCCGAACGAGCUCUUAACGAGCCGAGCUCGAGCUUGUUCGCGAACAGCUCGGUUCGUUAAACAGCCCUAUUUGUUAGUAGCAAUGUUGAAUACUAGUUUAUUUAUAAUUUUUUUUAAUCUAAAAUAACUUCUCGAUUAAGUUCCUCUUCGCGGUGUAUAACAUCUUUCUAAUUUUCUUUACAUAUUUACAAACACACACACACACAUAUUAUAACUGAUCAUAAAAGUUAAUAUAUUUUUUACUCGUCCUAGCAUGCUUCUUUAGUCAUAAGCCAUCUUUUCACAUUUGAUUUUCACCUACUUUGAUAAGCUAUCCCAUUAGUUCUUCAGGACCGAUCUUUGUAUAUCCCAGCAUUGAGCUCUAGUGGAAACAUAGCAAUUAGCCAAUUAGAGAUUGGGUGGCAUUCCCCUACUGCUGGAUGGUGUUGGUAGAUUCUCAGCCAUAUCGGGAUUCAUCCCGAUGCUGCCAAGAGCAAAUGCUACUACAGUAAUGUUCCUGUUCAAAUUAUUUGAUAUAACCGUGAAAACAGGUUUCUCUUGGGAAGAACUGCCGGCCACUUAUCUGGGCUUGCCCCUCAUCUCUCGUGCUCUAAACAAAUCAACAUCUCGAGCUCUGUUCCUAAAAUUUAACGAAAAAUUGCAGCACUUGACAACCAUAUUUCUGAGCUUCGCAGGAAGGUUACAGCUCAUAAACGCUGUACUAAGGAUAUACAAUCAACAGGUGUCAAAAUUUUGCGGUGAGGUACCAAUACAACUCGAUGUCACUGGAAGGUUGAACAGAUUACAUACCAGAGCCAAAUUGUGAUAAUCAUCAAAGUGAUCCUUUCUUCUUCAACCAGUACAAUCCGAGGGUCAGUAAUGUCCAUCGCUCUUGGCAGGAGUGUCAUUCUCACACAGUUAUGAAGAUUACUAUCACCAUCAAUUAAUAUGCUGCUUUUUGUAGGCCGUUUUCCCGAGAAAAUUUCUAUAAGAAGAAUGCCAUAACUAUACACAUCUCCCUCCCACCCAUUCCAUGCUCUGCACAUUUAAAGUGUCAAGAUAUUGGCAAAAAAAUUAAUUUACAAUACCAAGGAGUAAUGCUAAAUAUUAAUGGUUGAACUCAUUUCUGUUCGACUGAUGUCGUUUGUAGCAACAUAAAUUCCAAUGGAAAUGCUCCAAGGUUUAGAAGGAACGACAGAGCACAUUCAUAAUGUACAUGGAAGGACAAUUUUUUGUGAGUGAAAACAAAUCUAGUCACAAGCAUCGUCAUUUUGAUGCAGUUAGGAUGUGGAUAAUGUACCACUAAAAUCAAGUGAAGCUCUGUUCCAAGUGAAGCUCUGUUCCUAAAUCAGAGGGAGAAUUCAUUUGUUUCCUUUUGGCACCAUCUCUGGCUCCAUAGGACUCCUCUAGUUGAGCGGUUUGGAGAUGCAGUAAUUUUGAUAGUAGAGUCUGUUGACUGUUGCAGAAACAGAACCCUGAAUUUUUCAUAAAUUUUCAGGAUCUAAAUUUAAAUACAUAUAUUUUUUGCAUCUUUGUGUGUUCAAAAAUAUUUUCAAAAUAUAAUACAAAAAUAAGAUAUUUUUUUCAUGUGCAGUUCAGCUGCAGAACCAUAACUAAUACCAGAAAUAAAGUAAUGUUUCUAAGGGUUCACUCCCUAAUUAUUCUAUUUAGAACUUGAUCGAAAAUAAUAUUAUAUAUUAAUCUUUUAUAUCAAAUUUAUCUAAUUUUCUAGUUAAUUGAACAACCGCUAUAUUUCUAUUUUCGAAACAAUGACAUCAACCAAUAAUUUUCUUAAACAUCAAAUUUGUAAGAUGACCAUAUAUUUUUCAGAGGUGCUAGCUCAGACAGUUAAUUGUCAAGAAAUAUUAGAUUUGUUGGUCAUUAGAUGAAUAUUCAACGAUCAAAAUUAUAACUAAUAAUUUUUUUUAAUAUGUCCGGUGUUUUUUAAGUGUCUGAGUAUUCGUCCAACGAUCAAAAAGAUUAUAAAACACAAAAUAUCUUAAAAUUUUAUUAUAAUUCUGACCGUUGGACAUUAAUUUGAACAUAAUUAUAUUAUAUCAGUACAACACUCAUUUAUAAAUACCUCAUACUUCAUUCAUUCUUUUUUAGUUCUCCGGUUUUGAAUAUCCAUAAUCAAAUUGAUCUUUUUUUCAUCAAAGAUUAAGAAUAAUUUUUUAAAACUAUAAAUUAACAUUAAUAUAUAUUAUAUGUAUUUUAUCAUCAUAUAAAUUUUCAUAUUUUUUAAUUAUAUAUAUAUCAAUUAUUAAAAAUCAAAAUUCGACGAUAAAAAAGGGAGAAGGCAAAAAAAUAAAUUAUUAUUAUUAUCAUAAUUAUUCAUGGGUCAUCAUGACAACUAACUGAGCUACGGGAAAUAAUAUAUAUAUAUAUAUAUAUAUAUAUAUAUAUAUAUAUAUAUUUUGGAAGGAGGGAAACUGGGAAAGAAUAACCUUGAAUUCAAAGAGAGAAAGAAAGGGAACCUCCAAAGUUGCAGAUUAGUGGUUUAUAUCGUGCAGGUUGAUUGGAAGAUUUUGAAGAUGAGUCCAGCUUUAAGCUUGAGGUAUUCAUAAAACCCCCCUUCUUUUUGAUAAUAUUUUAACGGAUAUCUGCCUGAAGUACUAUUCUAGACCUAAUAUUGAAGCUAAAUUUAUCAUUGAAUUCUCUGCGAAUAUGCUAUAUAUUCUCCCGAUGUUUGUACAACGUUAAUGAAUCGAUAAUGUCGAGACUAAAGAAGGUUAAUUAAAUGAAACCAAGAAACCCAGUACUUUAGCAGCACAAAUGGCGGAUCUUAAUCACUUAUUAAUCCCUGAUCACGCAGUUUUGCUUUGUUGUAUAUACAAGGAGCUGCGCAAAUGAAGAAGACCUGGGUCCUGGAGGAGAAGACCGCUUUGGAGAGAGUGUACAUGUGCACACUGCACGUGCGAUCAACGGUACUGGUCUUCUUCAUCUUAUUUUUUCCUGUUUUGUCCAUUAAUUGUUUUAAUAAUUUCAUUAAAAUAUAUGAAUCAGAAAUCCGAUCCAAUCUCUUAACUAAAGGUUCGAAUAUGAUCAUCUCAGAAAAUAUUUGAUGGUAGUGACCCGAUCAGGUAACUACCGGAUAUGGAUUUAGGUUAAUCCGAUCCGAUAAUUAUAUAUAAAUAUAUUUUUUGAUUAUAUAAUAUGUUAUAAAUAUAUAAUUAAUAUUUUGAUCUGUACAGCAUUAUAUUUACUAUGUAUCUUUAAUUUUUCUUUCUAUAACAUUCAAUAUCAUGUAAAUUCAAAUUUGGUAAGUCCAGUUUAGGAAUAGAUUAAUCGGUCCGGUCUUCUCAGAAUUUAGACCGCAUGAAGGACGACUUCGAGAUUAAGGGGAGACAGGACAGAAUAUUAGCACAUGUAGUUUUGGCAGGGGCACCUUUCCAUGCAAAGCUGCUUGGUUUAUUGCAGAGGGCAUUCUAUGUUACACACUUCUCAAAUUUCAACUCCCUGCAAAUUACACUUACUUCAUCAUUCACUUGCUUCAAACUUCCUUGUUCAAGAAAUUGUUGCUGCUCUUUCUCCUUUCGCUUGCGCUGUUUCUUCCCAUUCUCUCUUAGUAUUCAUUUCAUUGCAGCUUCAUCAUCUUUUUCCUCUACAUCUUUCUUUUCUUUAUCAAUUUUUCAACUCCCUGAAAUCCCGCUCACUUUAUCAUUCACUUGCUUUGGAAUUGUUUUCUUUUCUUCUACAUCUUUGUUUUUUUCCGAACAAUCAUGGUUGGUCUAUCUGACAUUCCCUGUGUGGGAAAGAUUGUGGACAGGAUAUCCGAUGCAGCAGUUGAUGCAUUAUUUCGUGGAUUCAGUUAUGUGUUUUCUUACAAGAAUCAUGUUAAGGCUCUUGAAACUGAGAUUCAGAAACUUGACACUGAGAUGCAGCGGAUGUCCAGAAGAGUCGGGGAAGAAAAAGAUAAUGGUAAAAUAAUCAAUGCUGGCGUGAGUACAUGGCAGACAGAUGUAGAAGAAGUCAAGAAGAGCGCUGAAGAAAUUUUAGAAAAAUACAAAAACAGAUCUUCAUGGAGGUGUAUUCAGUGGAUGCCUAUUCCUAAACCACUCUCCCGUUCCCGACUGGGUCGGGAGGCAGCACACAAGGCCAAGAGAGUGACGGAACUCUCUGAUUCUGCAAACAUUCUCUUGGCUAAUGAAAUUGCAUAUCUUUCCCCUGUUGAGAAUGCACCAAUUAGUGACACUGUAUACCAAACUUUUAAAUCCAGAAGUGAUGCUUAUGACGAGCUAUGGAAAGCGCUUGAAAGUGAAGGUGGUUCUUCAAUUCUUGGCAUCUAUGGAAUGCCUGGAGUUGGGAAGACGACAAUGAUGGAGAGUAUAUGGAAAGAAGCCCUUGUGAAAAAAAUCUUCGACAAGGUAACUCGGGCAGAUGUGGGCAAUGAAGACUUGGAUGUAUUCAAAUUGCAAAAACAGAUUGCGGACCAUCUGGAUUGCCAUUUAAAUCCGGAAGAUGAUGAGAGACACAGAGCUUCUCAACUGAAAAACAGAUUAAUGAAUGAGGAGAAGAUCCUCAUUAUAUUAGACGAUGUAUGGAGGGAGAUUCCGUUGCAUCGUAUUGGAAUUCCAUUGGGCGAUGGAUAUAGUUCCACUCAUCAUAAGAUCCUUUUGACAUCCCGGAAAAAAAAAGUAUGCAUGGACAACAAGUGCCUGCAUCCGGUAAAGAUUGCACCUCUGGACACCGAUGAAGCAUGGCAAAUGUUCAGGAACACGGUUGUUGCUGAUAACAUUUACCUUCUUCCAGAUGAAUCCCUGGCACAGGAGGUGUGCAAGAAAUGUGGGGGAUUACCCCUCCUAAUUCACGCGGUUGGUAAAGCUCUGCAAUUCACAUCUCAUGAUGUAUGGAAGGAUGCACUUAAUCAACUAGAGAAGGGGAAUUUUGAAAAAAUUGCUGAUAUAGAUCCAAAAGUAUAUGCUUGUGUCAAACUGAGUUUUGAU
rnacentral:lncRNA from 1 species